rnacentral:lncRNA from 1 species
UGUGAAGGAGGAAGAAAGUGAGGUCAUAGCGUAAUUGGUCUCCCGUUCCAUUUGACCCAUGAAAAUGAACAGAUAUUAUCAUUAUUCAUGAUUCCAAGUUCAACGGUACGCUUUAAUAUAUGUUCGUAUUUUAACAAAAUUUGGUUUAAUUGAUACCUCCAUGGUUAUCUUUAAAAACUCGUUCAAGCGUGACCUUUAUGACGUAAUCUUAAGAUCUGAGCUGAUUGGAAGGGCUGGUAGUCGGAUUGGCGUUCGGCCCUACACUCGACAACUGGUUCUCUAUUGACAUACAGACGCAUUAUCAAAAGUGCUAUCUAAAAAUAACAAGCGCAAAGUCAACAAAUGUUUAUUACUAAACAGAUUACGAUAUUGAACGUUAUCUGAUGAUGCCAACAAAUUAAUUGCUCAUCUAUGUGUGGUUUCUGAAGGGUUUUAGCGUGUGUCUCGUCAUGCCUUCAUCAUUAGCAAUUAUGCGGUUUGGGUUAGGCGUGGCGACAGGAGAGCAUAAUAAGGCCGAAGACAGAACAGUCAGGGAAGGUUAAACUGGUUCAACUAUUGGCUCUUAUAUAACCUUCAUUUGGACGUGCUUCAUAAAUUGAAGCUUCCGAAAUGACCACCGACUCGAGUUCAGCACGAAACUUUAGAUAGAGUUUGGUUACCCAAUAAUAGAUCUUGCAUGUCUACAAUUUCUGUUUGUCGAGCGAAGUUUUCUCCAAGGCCCGGAACCGUGCCAAAUAUACUACGACGUUACUGGGAACGACUUCAGAAGAUUAAAUUUACGACUUUUUGCAUAAAAAUUAAUCCGGAUUGAAACGUUUUAUAUACGUGGCGACAGAAUACGUAAUGUGAAACUCAGGGGAUAUGGUGUGGAGACAGUUACACCUCUGAAGCGCAGAGGGCAUUGGCGUUGUUAUGGUACCAUGACAUUCGCGCAGGUUAUAAAUAGGCCGAUCUAGACUCUUACAAGACUCUACCAAUCGUAUAAUCUGACCUAUAUACUGAUCUGUGCUGACAUUUUAUGAGCCAGUGACAAUAAAAUCAGAAUUUUACUUGCAGAUGUUGUUCUUUUUUUUUUUAAAUACGAUAACAGGCCAAAUAUAAUAAUAUUAUGUACACGUAAACCUACAUCAAACGGUAUAUGGAU